GAGAUGGACUCGCGACUGAUUAGAUAGUUGGUGGGGUAACGGCCUACCAAGUCUACGAUCAGUAACCGGACUGAGAGGUUGAACGGCCACAUUGGGACUGAGACACGGCCCAGACUCCUACGGGAGGCAGCAGUGAGGGAUAUUGGGCAAUGGGGGCAACCCUGACCCAGCGACGCCGCGUGAGGGAAGAAGGUUUUCGGAUUGUAAACCUCUGUCUUUAGGGACGAAGAAGUGACGGUACCUAAGGAGGAAGCCACGGCUAACUACGUGCCAGCAGCCGCGGUAAAACGUAGGUGGCAAGCGUUGUCCGGAAUUACUGGGUGUAAAGGGAGCGCAGGUGGGAUGGUAAGUCGAAUGUGAAAUCUACGGGCUCAACCCGUAAAUUGCGUUCGAUACUAUCGUUCUUGAGUGGAGUAGAGGCAGGCGGAAUUCCCGGUGUAGCGGUGGAAUGCGUAGAUAUCGGGAGGAACACCAGUGGCGAAGGCGGCCUGCUGGGCUCUAACUGACACUGAGGCUCGAAAGCGUGGGUAGCAAACAGGAUUAGAUACCCUGGUAGUCCACGCUGUAAACGAUGAUUACUAGGUGUGGGGGGACUGACCCCCUCCGUGCCGGAGUUAACACAAUAAGUAAUCCACCUGGGGAGUACGACCGCAAGGUUGAAACUCAAAGGAAUUGACGGGGGCCCGCACAAGCAGUGAGUAUGUGGUUUGAUUCGAAGCAACGCGAAGAACCUUACCAGGCUUGACAUGCCACUGACCGCGCCAGAGAUGGUGCUUUACUUCGGGUACAGUGACACAGUGUGCAUGA
rnacentral:rRNA from 1 species